rnacentral:lncRNA from 1 species
UUAGGGUUGGCCCUGACCUAGUUUGACCAGUGUCCUUAUGAAAACGCAGAAGUUGGACAAAGACACACCCACAGGGAAAGCACCAUGAGAAGAUGACGGCAGAGAUCUGGGCGACGCGUCUACAAGCCAAGCGACACCAAAGGUGGCCAGCAGCCCAUGUGAAGCUGGAGGAGAGGCCUCGAAUAAAUGCUCCCUUACAGCGUUCAGGGGGAACUGACCCUGUCCACACCUUGACCUUGAACUUCUGGGCUCCAGAACUGUGAGACAGCAUGUUCUGUUGUUGAAGGAGCAGCGUGGCUAGAGGAAUUCCUGCAGCUUAGAUUUCGCUGGCACUGUUACCACUCCCAGAGAGGAGCGGCUGGAGUUCACGGCUGGUUCCUGACAAACUUCCUAAUUAAUCUGCUAAAGAUCAGAGGAGGACUAAUAGGAGCUGAAGACUGUGUGCGAGACCACCCCUCCGCCCUCUCCCUUUGUGUGUGCACGUGUGUGUGUGUGUGUGUGUGAGCGCGUGCGCGCAUGUGGUGCUGAGCUUGGCGGGAGAGAGAUGGCCUCACCAGCGACAAAGCAUUCCUGCUGCUGUUGCUGCCACCUACCUUCCCUGCUUUGGGAGGAUACAUUUUCUCCUCUUGCUUAGAAGUUUCAGGGAGUCACCCAAGCCUUCUUCUCCCAGAUACAACGGUGGAAUAAAAUAUCUUCCAGCCAACAUAUUUUUUGGAGACGGAAUCUCACUCUGUCACCUGGUUGAAGUGCAGCAGCGCGAUCAUGGCUCACUGCAACCUCUGCCUCCCGGUUUCAAGUGAUUCUCCUGCCUCCGCCUCCCGAGUAGCUGGGAUUACAGGCAUGUGCCACCCACCACGCCUGGGUAAUUUUUGUAUUUUUACUAGAGACAGGGUUUCACUAUGUGGGCUGGGCUGGUCUCAAACUCCUGACCUCUGGUGAUCUGCCCACUUCGGCCUCUCAAAGUGCUGGGAUUACAGGCAUGAGCCCCCGCACCCGGUUGCAACCAACUUUUUUGUGGAAUAUAGGAUCUUGAUGUUUGGAUGCCUGAAGGCAGAAGCUGUUGCACAUGGAAUGGAUUAAAGUUUUCCCCUCUGCAACCAAAAAUCCUUGGGGUCCCAGGAGCAAAAGAUGCUCCAUGGCACAGGACAAUUCAAGAAGGCCCGAGGUGAUAUUGAAGACUGCAGAGACAUCCAGCUCAGUUGUGUCUCCGGAGGUGUCCAGACUUUGCAGACAGACGUUGCACAUAAAGAGCUGAAAAACUGAGGAAGCUGAGCUGGAGAAGGAAGUCACUUCUACUCAGACUUGACCUGCGUCUGAUGCUAUGGGGCCUCUUAGGGUUACCUCAUGCUUCAUGCACCCCUUUCUCUGUUCUUCAGCAGAAGGCAGGGUGUAGGGAAGCGGGACUGUGCCUCCUUUCUCCCUGCCAGGCCUGACUCUCCAGGCCAAGAGACACCAUUAAGGAGUAUAAUUUGUUGAUCCAGGCUCUCCUUGCGUUUCAGUGCAGAGUGGCAUCGUUUUCUUUAUGACCUCGUAAAGUCACAGCCGAGAGGCCGAUUUGGAAAACAAACUGCCUCAGGUUGACAGAUAAUUAGAUACAGGGGACAUAUUAUAUGCCUUUGCAUAUAAAUGUGCUCCGAGGCGUGUUGGUUCAUCUGAAGUUGAGGUUAAAGGCGCGCCAGAGUUAAUCCUAAUAAAAAAUGAUUACAGAAGAGGACGCCUCCACCCACAGGAAGGAGCCAGCACGGUGGGGAGCUGUUUCACCAGGGGAGUGUUCUCAGCAGCUGCCACACGUGGAGUUGUGGAGGUAGCAAGCAGAGUUGGGGGAGGAGGGGGAGCCCUGGUUCCUGCUCUUCCAUGAUCAGUGUGCAGCCUUGAGCAUGGCACUCCCUCUCUUCCCAGCUUAGUGUCCUCAUCCGUAAAAUGAGGGGCUCUCUGAGAGUCUGCCAGGGCCGCUGUCUGAUCUGUGACAGCGUGGCAUGUGGUGUGGUAUGUAAUGCACGUUCCUGCCUGCAGGGAGGCCCUCUCCCUUCCCCCACCAGGCUUCUGGGCAGCACUUGCUGUCAUCCUUGCUUCUGGAACAGGACUGUGCUGUUUUCCAGGCCAAAUUGGAGGGCUGAGGGGGUCUAUUAAGAAGACUCUGGGGAGAUGGUGGAACAAUUCUGUGCUUGAAAUUACCUUCCUCUUUAAAUCUUGCCAUGGCCCUAUUAGAAAAGCUAAGGGGGCAGGAGGAGAGGAGCGGGCAGGGAGAGGAGAGAGAGAGAGAAGAAGGAAGAAGGAAAGGGAAAGGUAAGAAACCCCAUAGCCCGACCCUCAGCCCUGUUGAAGGAGAUUAUAUAAAUAGAGUCGCUGUCACUUUGAUGAAUUAAAUCCUCCGUUAAUUAGGACGCAUCCAUUUAAGGGUUGUCCAGCCAGAUAGUCCUUUUCCCUUCCCAGCAAGUCAUAGCUCAGGGAGGAGGCAUGAGAGGGAUCGUUUUCUGUUUCUGGCUUGAUUGCUGGUUUCUUUCUUACUAGGCUUCAUUAAUUAUCCUGGAAUGUGGUCACCCAGUUUUCUUCAACAUGGGCCAUUCUCCUUUUAGCAGGAUCUUGGCAGUGGACUGCCACGGGAGCUCUGGGGAAAAAGGACCAGUUGGACUCCAGUACCUCCUGAGAGACCACCACCCUCCAUGCCUCCAGCUCAUGCCCAGCUCUGAGUCAGACGGACUCUUCCUGUUGUACUGCGAGGUUCUGCAAACCUUGAAGGGCAAACACAGUGAGGGUCUCUGACUUGCUGUGUGGACAGCCCACUCUCUGACAGCCCAGAUCAUCUGAAGCUAUCCCUGGGCUGGGAGCUGGAAGCCAUUCUUGUGAACCACUCCUUAUACCUUGAGCGAAGCCUCUUUGGGUCCCAGAAGUCUGAAGCUCCAGCUGCCUGGCAAGACUGAGUCUAGAUGAUUUCUUGGGUACCAGUAGUUUGGCAUUUAAAAAUACUGGAUUAACUGCAGUGUAAACUUAGAUUGCAUUUCAGAUUGUAAACAAUAACCCCCGUGCUUCAUGUGAUGUUAAAUCAGAAAUGAGCUAUUAGCCAAGCUAGUCCUCUUAUGAAUGAGCCCCUAACCCUGAUCCAGGGAUCGUUGAAUGAAAAUCAUCAAAAUGAUUUAUCUUCACUUUACCUAUUGUCUCACAAGAAUCUCAUCACUCAGGGAAAAGGAGGGUGUUCUUCAGGGAACGGAGGGCAUGAGGAAGGGGGAUUUCCUUAUAUCUCAACUUUCAGAGGGAGCUGAGUUGUAAACAGAUGGAACAAGGUGUGUACGAGAAGCCUCUUAGAUUUAGUCUUUCAUAUCAAGGCUCUUGCUGAAAAUCCUGGCACAGCUGUGAAAUGAGGGGAGCUCUGACACACAGAGACACGCUCCUUGCCUCACCAACCUUCCCAUACACAGUCAUGCGCACAGAGAGCAGGUACCAAUACUGAAAAUGCCCUUCCGGAGUUUCCUCAGCUUAAACCCUUGACAGCAUUAAGUGAGGAAGGAGUUUCCUUGACCUGGGGAAGAAGAACCAACUCAUAAACAUGGAACUGUG